UUCAUACCCUUAAAUGUCAUUUUACAUGCAAUAAGCUAAUAGUAAACAGCUAAUUUACCAAACACUUUUUUAUAACCAGCUAAUACAAUCGGUUGGUCAAACCAGUUAACACAAUCAGCUAUUAACUAUCAUCUAACUCGAUCAGCUAUCAGCUACCAGCUAUUAGCCAUUUGCCAAACACCCCCAUACUCCCAUGAUGAAUCAAGAUCAAAUAAA